CCUACGGGCGGCAGCAGUGAGGAAUAUUGGUCCAUGGGCGGAAGCCUGAACCAGCCAAGUAGCGUGCGGGAUGACGGCCCUACGGGUCGUAAACCGCUUUUGCACGGGGAUAACACCCUCCACUUGUGGAGGUCUGCAGGUACCGUGCGAAUAAGGGCCGGCUAAUUCCGUGCCAGCAGCCGCGGUACUACGGAAGGCCCGAGCGUUAUCCGGAUUCAUUGGGUUUAAAGGGAGCGUAGGCGGGCGUUCAAGUCAGCUGUAAAAUCGCGCGGCUCAACCGCGCCCCGCAGUUGAAACUGGGGGCCUUGAGUUCACAACAGGCAGGCGGAAUGCGUGGUGUAGCGGUGAAAUGCAUAGAUAUCACGAGGAACCCCGAUUGCGAAGGCAGCCUGCCGGGGUGCGACUGACGCUGAGGCUCGAAGGUGCGGGUAUCAAACAGGAUUAGAUACCCGAGUAGUC
rnacentral:rRNA from 1 species